GAGAAUUUGGAUUGGUUGAGCAGGGCCACAAAUUGGGCCAAAUUUAGUGCCACGGCAGGUCUUGGUGUUAUCCACAGAGGUCACCUGCAGCAGGGCAGGUCGCUAAUGAGACCUUAUUUGCCCCAGGGCGGAUCUGGUGGUGGAGGUAGUCCAUACUCAGAAGGUGGUGCUCUUUAUGCUUUGGGUCUUAUACAUGCGAACCAUGGCGAGGGCAUCAAACAAUUCCUUCGUGACAGCCUACGUAGCACAAAUGUAGAGGUCAUUCAACAUGGUGCAUGCUUAGGUCUGGGUUUGGCAGCUUUAGGAACUGCUGAUAUCAUCAUAUAUAUCUUGAUAUCAAAAGCGCUUUGUAUACUGAUAGUGCUGUUGCUGGUGAGGCUGCUGGUAUUAGUAUGGGUUUGCUUAUGGUUGGAACUGCAAGUGAGAAAGCAAGUGAGAUGCUUACUUAUGCUCAUGAGACACAGCAUGAGAAGAUCAUUAGAGGAUUGGCAUUAGGGAUAGCCCUCACUGUUUAUGGAAGAGAAGAAGAAGCAGACACGCUAAUUGAGCAGAUGACUCGUGAUCAGGAUCCAAUACUUCGUUAUGGUGGCAUGUAUGCUUUGGCAUUGGCCUACAGGGGAACAGCAAACAACAAGGCCAUCCGCCAACUGUUGCACUUUGCCGUAUCAGAUGUGAGUGAUGAUGUAAGGAGGACUGCAGUUCUUGCACUUGGAUUUGUCCUGUACUCUGAACCAGAGCAGACUCCUCGAAUUGUCUCCUUGCUGUCGGAGUCGUACAACCCACAUGUGCGAUAUGGUGCAGC
rnacentral:misc_RNA from 1 species